UUAAAGGACAUGGCCGCUGUGUUAAUUAACGUAGAGGACUUUGAUAAUUUGAAUCCCUAUUUCAGCCACAACAUGUACCAGGCUCUUAUCUCGGAGAAUGAGAUUGGGGCUUUUCGAACCAUAGAGCCAGAGGCGAUAAGGGCUCAGGAUGGAGACACUGGGAUCAAUGUGUCUCUAACUUACAGUAUCAGUGCAGUGUCUCCAGACAAGUAUCAGACAAACUUCAACAUUAAUUCCAACACUGGAGUUGUGUCUGUGGUGACUGCCAUAGACAGAGAGGAGAUGAACAGCAAUGUGAUCUCUGUCAGCAUAAAGGCGGCCCAGGCAGACGACAGUGUGAAGACGGCUGAUGCUGUGGUGUCAGUCACUGUUGAGGAUGUGAAUGAUAAUGCUCCAAAGUUUGACAAGUCAAACUACUCUCUAACACUUCAGGAAAAUUUUCCUCUUGAUGCUGUUCUGUUCAAAGCCGUUGUCACUGACCUGGACCAGGGAGGAUUUAUGGGGACUUUGCAGAUCCUUCCAGUAUCUGCUCCUUUCUCUAUCACUUCUGAUGGGACGGUCAGAGUGAAGAACUCCACGGCUCUGGACAGAGAGACAACUGAAAGCAUCACAUUUCAGAUUGAAGCAAAAGAGAAGGAUCCACCCAACCAUGUCACAGUGGCUCAAGUCAGUGUGACCCUUCUGGAUGAGAAUGACAACAGUCCUGCAUUUACCAGUAGCAAGUACGAGGGAAAGGUGUUUGCAGAUCAAACAGUGGGAAUGUUGCUGGUCCAGGUUAAGGCAGAAGAUCCAGAUGCUGACGCGAAUGGGCAGAUCAAAUACUCUAUUGACUUUGGGAACAACGAUGGCUACUUCUCAAUCGACGAAGACACUGGAAAUAUCACGCUGGCUAAAACCAUUCCUCUGGUGGAAAACAGGAUUUUGGAGUUCCCUCUCUACGUAACAGCCACAGAUGGCGGCAUCAUAUCCCGCUCUUCCUCAGCACAGGUGAACAUUCGCGCUCCUGGCAACUCUAAGCCUCAGUUUUUACAAAAAGUCUACAGUGGCAGCGUAGAAGAAGAACAGGAUCCUGGAGAUGUCAUUCUCAGGGUUAACUUCCUUGCUACAGAUGCUGAGCUGCCUGUGACUCUUCGAGUUGAUACAGAAGCCGACAAGUUCGCCAUCUCCUCCACCGGUGAAAUCACCACCAAGGUGAAGCUCGACUACGAUGAGGCCCCACACAACUACUCUGUGGCGAUCUCCAUCUCUGACGGGGUCAACAGUGACAAUGCAGUCGUGGUGGUUCGAGUCACUGACAUCAACGAUAACAGCCCGGUUUUUACCCCCAGCUCUGUCACAAAGACAGUCCCAGAGGACGCAGAGGUAGGAGUCAAUGUUACUGUUGUUCCUGCUACAGACAAAGACAGCAGCUUCAACAAGGAGAUCAGGUACUCUCUGACAGGAGGAGAGGGGAGGUUCUCUAUUGAUCCUGUUUCUGGGAUGGUGAGUGUGGCUGGUGCACUUGAUAGGGAGACCAAGGCUGAGUACAACCUGCUGGUGGUAGCUGAAGACCAGGGUCGACCAGCCAGGUCGGCCACAGCCUCCCUGCUGGUCCAAGUGUCCGACAUCAACGAUAACGUCCCCAAGUUCUCGGAGGCUGAGUAUCAGGUUGAAGUCUUAGAAACAGAGACAGUGGGUACAAGUGUUCUCGUCUUAUCAGCUGUAGACCCUGACGAAGGAGCAAACAGGAGAGUUACUUACAGUAUUUUCCGGCAAAGUCCCUCAUCAGACCCCGCUGUUUUUGAGUUGGACUCUUCCAGCGGGACUCUGCGGCUGGUCCAGCCUCUGGACUACAGUGAGGAGAAGAUGUACACCCUGAUGGUUCAGGCCUCUGAUGCGGGGACCCCCUCUCUGGUUGGGUACAGCUCUGUGGUGGUGAAGGUGAAGGACGUGAACAACAACCCACCUGAGUUCAGAAAGGAAAGCUAUGACGUGGCCGUCUCUGAGAACCUGGCCAGCGGUGCGUCCAUCCUGACCCUGGAGGUCACUGACAAGGAUGAGGGUGGAUUCUCCAAUGGUUACUUCCUCUACACCAACGAUACCUUUGACAUUAACAAACAAGGGGUGGUUUCGCUGAGGAAGGACGUCACCUUGGACAGAGAGACAAAGGACAGCUAUGUAUUACAGGUCGUGGCGGUGGAUCAGGUCACUGACGGUUUGAGAUCCACAGCUCAGCUCAACAUCACCGUCCUGGACUACAACGACAACGCCCCACAGUUCCCGGCUAUACCAGACCUCCUACAGUUCCCUGAGGGCGAUUACUCUGAGGAAAAUCCAGGAGAAAUUUUCACCAUCGUGCCCACGGACGCUGACCUCGGCCCCAACGGAGAGGUCACGGUCUCCCUCAGCUCCCCUAACCCACUCUUCAGAUUCACAGAGGACGGGACGUUGCUGGCUGUUGGCUCUCUGGAUCGGGAGAACAAGGACACUUACGAGCUGGUCGUUAAGGCCUCAGACAAAGGCAGCCCACAGAGAGAGAACAUCACCACCAUCAGAGUGAGAAUCAUCGACGUCAACGACAACAGACCUGAGUUCAGCUCCAGCAGCUACGUCAGCAGCAUCCUACUGAAAGACGCAGAGAAAGGGAAGCUGCUGCUGACGCUGUCGGCCACCGACAGAGACGUGGGGAACAACUCGCUCAUCACCUACAGUUUCUCUGCAGGAAGUUCCCCAUAUUUGGCCGUAAACAGUGAGACCGGAGCCGUGACUUUGACCUCUGACCUUGCUGAUGUCACAGAGGACACUGUGCUGGUGCAGACAGCCAUUGCUGAAGACCACGGCCAGCCUCCUCUGAACUCCACAGCCCGUCUCGUCGUCAAUCUGAGGCUGGUCAGUCUGGUGGAGGGCGUGGCCUUCAAGAGCUCCUCCUACAACUUCAGCCUACCUGAGAACCAGCCGGCGGGGGUGACUGUGGGGAGCGUCUGGGCCUCCUCAGGAAGUGACAUUUAUGACGUCGCCUACACGAUGAAAACACACACUGACCUGUUCUCCGUUGACGCCAGCGGAGCCAUCCUGACCAGAGCACAGCUGGACAAAGAAGAGCAGGACUGGUACAUCCUGGAGGUGGAGGCAGUGGACACAAGGACCCCCCCUACGUCAGCCAUUGCAAUGGUCAGAGUCCAGGUCGAGGACGUAAACGAGUCUCCGUGGUUUUCCCGCGAGGUUUAUAAAGCCUCUGUACUCAGCAUCGCUCCGUAUAAAACCCCCGUCAUCCAUGUCAAGGCUUCAGACCAUGAUGUCGGUGAGGAGGGUCAGCUGGUCUACAGUCUCUCAGCAGACAGUCCUUAUUUCGACGUGGAGCCGUCCUCAGGUCUGGUGUACGUGGUGUCGGCAGUGGGUCUGGCUGGACAGCAGGCUCAGGUGGAGGUGAAGGCCACAGACCCCCGAGGACUUGAAGCUACAACCAAGGUGGAGGUGGCGGUCCAGGGAGGUGCGAGCAGCACUGACAUGGUGGUCAUCUCCCUCAACCAGCCUGCCAAUGCUGUGGAGAAGAAAGUCCCACAGCUGGAGAAGUCUUUAGGUUCGGCUCUGGGCUGGACCGUGGACAUCAUCGAGGUGUGGAGCGAUAACGGAGGAGCCUCUGAGUCCAGAUCGCUGAGGGCGGCUGUGAAGACUUUGGUCAGCUUCAUCAGUGUCGACGGAAGGGAGGUCGUUUCAUCUGAAGAGGUCACAAAGAAGUUGCAGAGCCAAUCAGAUGCUGUGAGGGCGGAGCUAGUCAAAGUGUUUGGGGAUGGUCUUCAGUUUGACCUAGAAAUGAAACCUCAAAGCCCCGCCUCUGACGACCAGGCUGUGGUCAUCGCUCUGGGUGUCCUGUUGGGCCUGAGCAUGCUGGGAUGUAUUGUUGCUGUUGCCUUGAUCAUCGGGUUCAAGAGGACCCAGAAACACCAGGAGGAUUCUGACAAAGAAAGUUUUGACAUCAGCCAACACGCUGAAGGUUACACGAACUGGUCUCAGAAGAUUCCUGAAACAUCUGAACAGACAAAACAACCGGAGGACGAGCAACAGAGGACGGACAGAAAGGCAGCUCAAUGGGACAAACAGGCAGACGAUGACUGGACGGUGAAGAUGGACAGAGACAGUGUGAGAGUUAAACAGGACAGACAGAAAGAUGACAUGUCUUCUGUCUGAUCUGAACACAGCAGCUUUCAGUCUGUCUGUAUGGAGUCUGCAGAGAGCCACUAAACAUUCACACCCAGUGAUCAAAGAUGUGAACAAAACAUCUGAAUGUUUCUAGUUCGGAGCAACCAAGCCAUUAUUCUGCCUCCACUAAUGUGACGAAAACUUUAGAUUUGUUUUAAAAUUGUUUCCUAAAGUCAGAGGGUUUGAACUCAAAACUUGCUUUAACAUCAAAAACCCCACAUUAGACUUUUACCCGUCCACAGUAAUCCAGCUGUGAAACACGGAUUAUAAAAAGUAAAUAAAGCAUUUGUUUCAUCCGGA